rnacentral:rRNA from 1 species
CGGACGGGUGAGUAAUGCUUGGGAAUCUAGCUUAUGAGGGGGAGUAACUACGGGAAACUGUAGCUAAUACCGCGUAAUAUCGGAAGAUUAAAGUGUGGGACCUUCGGGCCACAUGCCAUAGGAUGAGCCCAAGUGGGAUUAGGUAGUUGGUGAGGUAAAGGCUCACCAAGCCGACGAUCUCUAGCUGGUCUGAGAGGAUGACCAGCCACACUGGGACUGAGACACGGCCCAG